rnacentral:lncRNA from 1 species
GAAGAAGGUGCUUGCUUCUCCUUUGCUUUCUGCCAUAAUUGCAAGUUUCCUGAGACCUCCCAGUCAUUCUUCCUGUUAAGCCUUCAGAACUUUUUGGACAUACUUCAAAUUAUACCGACUCUUGGAAUUCACUAACAGCCUUAGGAGAUCAUCUAAUUUCUUAUAUCAAUUUGUCCUUUAAUGACUAUGAGUUUGGGUUGAGCAUGCAAAUACAGUCUACCUCAAUUUCCCUGACAAAAUCAUGCUGAUAGAAAGCCGAA